GCCUUGUUGGUGCAGUAGGCAGCGUGUCAGUCUCAUAAUCUGAAGGUUGUGAGUUCAAGCCUUACAUGGGGCA
rfam:Danio rerio chromosome 4, GRCz11 reference primary assembly.